rnacentral:rRNA from 1 species
UGGGGAAUAUUGCACAAUGGAGGGAACUCUGAUGCAGCGACGCCGCGUGAGUGAUGAAGGAAUUCGUUUCGUAAAACUCUGUUCUAUGGGAAGAAAAGGACUGUACCAUAGGAGAAAGCUCCGGCUAAAUACGUGCCAGCAGCCGCGGUAAUACGUAUGGAGCGAGCGUUGUCCGGAAUUAUUGGGCGUAAAGGGUGCGCAGGCGGCUUUACAAGUUGGAUGUGAAAUAUUGUGGCUCAACCACAAACGUGCAUCCAAAACUGCAAAGCUUGAGUUAAGGAGAGGUAAGUGGAAUUCCUGGUGUAGCGGUGGAAUGCGUAGAUAUCAGGAGGAAUACCGGUGGCGCAGGCGACUUACUGGACUUAAACUGACGAUCCGGCACGAAAGCGUGGGGAGCAAACAGG